CUCUCAUGGUCUACUGAACUUUCCCAUUGCAUCACCUUGCCUAGGAGGCUUUAUGGCCACUUGGCCUAAUUGACAAUUUCUAUGCAAAAAAGGGAAGAGGCAAACACUGAAAACUCCUUGAAAGAAAUCAGGAAGUAGGUAAUGAGUCUGCCCUACCAAUAGUGAAGACAUCUGUGGAAGCUUUUUGUUUUUAGAUAAAAAGAGCAGUAUUAUUGCCAGGACUGUCAGUUUCACUCACUUUGAUUUUCUGAGAAAUAAGAGGCAUUUUGCUGACAAUAAGACAGGGUCAGGUGUGUUCAUGACAGCAUCUGGCAGAGGAUGGCCGA
rnacentral:lncRNA from 1 species